ACAGUACAUACUGAGCAGGCAAUGAACACAUCGUUCAUCUUGCCGGGCCGUUUUGGCAACAGAUCAUACUACAUCUGUGGGACAGU
rnacentral:ncRNA from 1 species